rnacentral:rRNA from 1 species
UACGGGGGGAGCAAGCGUUGUUCGGAUUUACUGGGCGUAAAGGGCGCGUAGGCGGUCGUGACAAGUCACUUGUGAAAUCUCCGGGCUUAACUCGGAACGGUCAAGUGAUACUGUCGGACUAGAGUACAGAAGGGGCAACUGGAAUUCUCGGUGUAGCGGUGAAAUGGCGUAGAUAUUCGAGAGGAACACCUGCGGCGAAGGCGGGUUGCUGGGCUGAUACUGACGCUGAGGCGCGAAAGCCAGGGGAGCGAACGGG